UUGGAGUUCGGGCCGCACGCGCGCUACACUGAGCGUCGCAGCGAGUCUCGUGCGGCUUCCCGCUAGCGGGGACGCUCGACCUUGCAACGGCGUUCGUGCUGGGGACAGACGGCUGCAAUCGUCCGUCUCGAACGAGGAAUUCCUAGUAGGCGCCGGUCACCAACCGGCGUCAAUUACGUCCCUGCCCUUUGUACACACCGCCCGUCGCUACUACCGAUCGAACGGUUUAGUGAGGCCCUCCGAGCAGGGGCCCAAUUUGGGUCUCCGCCAAGUCGGUCGAACUUGAUCGUUUAAAGGAAUUAAAAGUCGUAACAAGGUU
rnacentral:rRNA from 1 species